UGAGCUGGUGUGAGACAGGGAGAGAUGUCAGCGCAGGUCUAUAGUCCGGGGACAACUCCUUACUCAUCUGAUGAAUGGGAUGAACCAUGUCAGAGGAAGAGCUAACCCUGCAGCCAAAUUCUAAUAAACAACAGGCUCAAGACCCUUGUCGACAAGCUCAGCCCAGACUCCAAAGUUCCACUGGAAGCAUCUCCCACAGAAAUGGCCUUCUCUGUGUUGCAUACGACCCUACUGCUACAGCUUGGUGCUGUCCAAACUCCGGGGAGAGGAACCGGAACCUUUCAGUUCUUGGCUCAGCCAUUCCAUAGACAAUAUUGCAACAGGAAACGACUGAGGCUGUGGCGGCCUCUGGAAGUUCAUUUCUGCCCACGUGUAUCUGCCUUGAGUGUUCUAAGGCACUUAUUCAUUCAUUUGUUCGUUUGCUCACUUGCCCGUCAAACAUCUGAGUGCUGACUGCAUGUCAGGAGUUUAAAUAGGCCCUGGGGUAGAAAUGUGAACAGUAGUCAGUUGAAUAGGAAUCGGAGGGCUAGACUCAAAGUCUCAUGUGGGAGACAGAGGUAAGCACAGAGAGUUCCGUAUUGUCAGGGUUACCCAUCAGGGCACCAGGCACAGGAGUGGAGGACAGAGGAGGCCUCUUGCCUGGGGAAGCAGGGAAUCCAUCACCCAGCAGAGCAGAGGCAGAGGGGCAGAGAGGGUGCCAGCCAGAGGGCAGGUAAGGUGCCAAUGUAAGUGCUGCCCUGUGGCAGCAUGGGGUUCCAGCUACUGGGGAGACUUGAGCCCAGGAGUUUGAGGCCAGCUUGGGCAACAUGGUGAGACCCUGUCUCUUCAAAAAAAAAAUUAAAAAAAGUAGUCAAUGUGUGUGUUGGGUGGGCGGGGAGGAGUCCAGAAUGGCCUUAAAGGCCAAGCAUGAAGGAACCCGGCACUCCUGGUACACAUGCAGCCACUGAAUGAUUUGAGGAGGGGAAUGGGACAUUGAAGAAGGGGAAGUUUGGGGACUUGGGGACGGUGGAGUCAGGGCUUCUCCCCUCUCCAGGAGGCUGACCUCAUGUUACUGGGAAAAGACGAAACCGCCUGAGACCACUCGGUAUAGGGAGGGUGUGGGGGAUGGGUGCUUACUCUCCCUGGGAGUGCAAACCGGCACAGCUUUUGGGUUGGAAAUUUGGCAUUAUCUGUUAAAUUUAAAAAUAAUAUUCCUACCUUUCCCUAAGCAAUUUCCAGAAGGAAAUUCUUGUAAAAUUUGCACAACUCUGCAAAAUACACAAAGGGAAGUUUACUAUAGCAUUUUUUUUUAGAUGGAGUCUCGCUCUGUCACCCAGGCUGGCGUGCAGUAGUACAGUCUCGCCUCACAGCAACCUCUGCCUCCCGGGUUCAAGCGAUUCUCCUGCCUCAGCCUCUCUAGUAGCUGGGACUACAGGCGUGCGCGACCACGCCCAGCUAAGUUUUGUAUUUUUAGUGGAGACGGGUUUUCAUCAUAUUGGCCAGGCUGAUCUCGAACUCCUGA
rnacentral:lncRNA from 10 species